GAUGAAGAACGUAGCGAAAUGCGAUAAGUAAUGUGAAUUGCAGAAUUCAGUGAAUCAUCGAAUCUUUGAACGCACAUUGCGCCCGCCAGUAUUCUGGCGGGCAUGCCUGUUCGAGCGUCAUUUCAACCAUCAAGCCCCCGGCUUGUGUUGGGGACCUGCGGCUGCCGCAGGCCCUGAAAACCAGUGGCGGGCUCGCUAGUCACUCCGAGCGUAGUAAUACAUCUCGCUCAGGGCGUGCUGCGGGUUCCGGCCGUUAAAAAACCCUUUUAACCCAAGGUUGACCUCGGAUCAGGUAGGAAUACCCGCUGAACUUAAGCAUAUCAAAGCGGAGGA
rnacentral:misc_RNA from 1 species